rnacentral:rRNA from 1 species
GGCUCAGGAUGAACGCUAGCUACAGGCUUAACACAUGCAAGUCGAGGGGAAACGACAUCGAAAGCUUGCUUUUGAUGGGCGUCGACCGGCGCACGGGUGAGUAACGCGUAUCCAACCUGCCCACCACUUGGGGAUAACCUUGCGAAAGUAAGACUAAUACCCAAUGAUAUCUCUAGAAGACAUCUGAAGGAGAUUAAAGAUUUAUCGGUGAUGGAUGGGGAUGCGUCUGAUUAGCUUGUUGGCGGGGUAACGGCCCACCAAGGCGACGAUCAGUAGGGGUUCUGAGAGGAAGGUCCCCCACAUUGGAACUGAGACACGGUCCAAACUCCUACGGGAGGCAGCAGUGAGGAAUAUUGGUCAAUGGACGAGAGUCUGAACCAGCCAAGUAGCGUGCAGGAUGACGGCCCUAUGGGUUGUAAACUGCUUUUAUAAGGGAAUAAAGUGAGUCUCGUGAGGCUUUUUGCAUGUACCUUAUGAAUAAGGACCGGCUAAUUCCGUGCCAGCAGCCGCGGUAAUACGGAAGGUCCGGGCGUUAUCCGGAUUUAUUGGGUUUAAAGGGAGCGUAGGCCGGAGAUUAAGCGUGUUGUGAAAUGUAGGUGCUCAACAUCUGCACUGCAGCGCGAACUGGUUUCCUUGAGUACGCACAAAGUGGGCGGAAUUCGUGGUGUAGCGGUGAAAUGCUUAGAUAUCACGAAGAACUCCGAUUGCGAAGGCAGCUCACUGGAGCGCAACUGACGCUGAAGCUCGAAAGUGCGGGUAUCGAACAGGAUUAGAUACCCUGGUAGUCCGCACGGUAAACGAUGGAUGCCCGCUGUUGGUCUGAAUAGGUCAGCGGCCAAGCGAAAGCAUUAAGCAUCCCACCUGGGGAGUACGCCGGCAACGGUGAAACUCAAAGGAAUUGACGGAAG